UGGAGUUAUUUGAAUGCCAUCUAUUCCGACUUCACAACGAGUGGCUGAUAUCCUUACUAAAGGAUUAUUCAAACCAUACUUCCUAUCAGGCUCUCCCAUCUAAUUCAAGGUUCAGUCAUUAUUAUAAACGCACAGAAAAUUUUGAUUUGGAAAGCGUCGAAAUUAGGAAAGAAAUUAUUUUAAAAAAAUGACUUGAAAAGAAAUAUUUUACCCAAUAGCUCGUUCUCCUCGAAAUCUUCGGUAUAUCGACCCUGCGUGCAAAUCACAACACAUAAAGAUUCAGCUAGAGACUAAAAAACAAAACGCAAU
rnacentral:lncRNA from 1 species